rnacentral:rRNA from 1 species
GACGAACACUGGCGGCGUGCUUAACACAUGCCAGUCGAACGGUGAAGCGCCUUCCUUUUUGGUGGGUGUGGAUGAGUGGCGAACGGGUGAGUAACACGUGAGUAACCUGCCCCCUUCUUCUGGAUAACCGCAUGAAAGUGUGGCUAAUACGGGAUAUUCUGGGUCUGUCGCAUGAUGGGUCUGGGAAAGAUAUUGUUUCGGUGGGGGAUGGGCUCGCGGCCUAUCAGCUUGUUGGUGGGGUGAUGGCCUACCAAGGCGGUGACGGGUAGCCGGCCUGAGAGGGUGGACGGUCACACUGGGACUGAGACACGGCCCAGACUCCUACGGGAGGCAGCAGUGGGGAAUAUUGAACAAUGGGCGAAAGCCUGAUGCAGCGACGCCGCGUGAGGGAUGGAGGCCUUCGGGUUGUGAACCUCUUUCGCCAGUGAAGCAGGCCUGCCUCGUUUGUGGGUGGGUUGACGGUAGCUGGAGAAGAAGCGCCGGCUAACUACGUG